rnacentral:tRNA from 1 species
GCACCAGUAGUUCAAUGGUAGAUCGUAUGCCCUCCAAGCAUGAUGUUGCGGGUUCGAGUCCCGUCUGGUGCUCCA